rnacentral:ncRNA from 1 species
UGGGGAUACGCAGACUCCCCGCCUGAACCCAAGACGCUGCGCGUCCAAGCUCUGC